rnacentral:rRNA from 1 species
AACAAACGCUGGCGGCGUGCCUAAUACAUGCAAGUCGAACGGGGAAAGUAGCAAUACGAGUACUAGUGGCGCACGGGUGAGGAAUACAUGGGUAAUCUGCCCUCGAGCUCGGGAUAACCAGUCGAAAGACUGGCUAAUACCGGAUAUGACCACAAGAUCUGAGGAUCAAGGGGUAAAAGGUUUUUCGCUUGAGGAUGAGCCCAUGUGGGAUUAGCUAGUUGGUGUAGGUAACGGCUCACCAAGGCGACGAUCCCUAACUGGUCUUAGAGGAUGAUCAGUCACACUGGGAACUGAGACACGGUCCAGACUCCUACGGGAGGCAGCAGUAGGGAAUAUUGCACAAUGGAGGAAACGUACUGAUGCAGCGACGCCGGCGUCGA